rnacentral:rRNA from 1 species
CGAACGGGGAGCAGCCCAGAGUCUGAAUCAGCUUGUGUGUUAGUGGAACGGUCUGGAAAGUCCGACGGUACAGGGUGAUAGUCCCGUACACCAAAAUGCACAGGUUGUGAACUCGAAGAGUAGGGCGGGACACGUG